rnacentral:tRNA from 1 species
AGGCGCGUAGCUCAGUGGUAGAGCAUUGCUUUGACGUAGCAAGGGUCAGCGGUUCGAUCCCGCUCGUGCCUACCA